rnacentral:rRNA from 1 species
AUGGAUAUUUUCCGACUGGAGUCUCGCGUUGCAGCUGUCGUGGACUAUCUCGCAAGGCUGAAGGCCGCCACAUCUCGCAUCGACUCGACGCUCUGGCCUGAGGAGACACUUCAGAAUGACCUUGAGUCACUGAUGGCCCGCUUGAACACGAUCCCUGGUCGAGUGCAGGAGUGGAAGAAGUCCUCGGCUCGGUGUGGUGCAGAUGUCGCUCUGUGUCUGCCCCGAGUCCACUGCAAAGAUGCACGAGAGGAGAAGCUGGCGGCCCUUCGGGUGGCCAAUACUAAGAAGCACGACUUCAGGUCCUUUAUGGAGACUUUCCUUGCAGCUGCCACUCGGAUCGCCGACGGAAUUGACCUUGAUGAAUUUGUUGCACCUUCCAGCCCUCCACAGGAGGGGUAA